UCUGUCUACCACCGCUCUCGAAUGGAGGUUGUCUCCGCUCUCAUCUAGUCUAGUGUAGAAAGUAAAAUUUCUCUUCGCUUCCAGGAAUUCACCGAAGUUAGAUCGCGAACUCUCCCCCUCGAGUACAAAUGGAGCUUCAAUUGGAGAAAUGGGAACUGCAGUUCGAUUUGGAGGAUCAUGUCGGCCGGCCGGCCGAAAGAUUGUGAGCCGCUGAGGACCAUUCGAUCGGACCCGGAGCUCGAGUUUUGCGGCGAUUAUUGGGGCUAAUAGCCGGCGGUCUGCCGAUCGUGUACCUACAGAAGAUAGAGGGACUGGUGCCUGGUGUUGUUGCGCAUCGGCAAGGACUCUGCCAAGAAUUGGAAGGACAAAAGAUAAGUGUUAGAAUUGAACCUGCCAAUAUGAUGAUACAACUACUUCAUCUGCGGGCCAGUCUUAUACCCCUGAGAGGUAUGAAAAUUUCGAUAUGGUAUGUACUCCCUUCUAUUUAGUCACUUUCCUCUAUUUGCUUUUGAGCAUAUAUAUAUUCCAAGAAACACUAUGUUAUUAAUAGUAAUGAAAUUCAAAAUUGAUGCUAUUUCAAGGAAAAAUGCACUUUUUUUUCUUCUAGCUAGUCAGUAAUGGAACAUAGAGAUCUGUGUAGAUACUUUCCUCUGAUUGCUUUUAUAGGUAUACAAAUAUUUAAAGAAACACUAUAUUUCGAAUAAAAAUAGGGAAAAUAGAUGUUUGAGCAACAACUAUUUCCUAAUAUUUGAUGCUUAAUUUUUUCCAUGAGGUCUCAAUAAUUGGAUUACUUACAAAGAAGUUAUCACCAAGGAUGCCAUGCCCAGAACCGAGUAAGAGCAAGUCUGCAAAAUAGCACGAAUCAUCAAUAGUACUUUCAGUAAUAUAAAUCCCAAUAUUCUUGCACAUGAUGGCUAGCACAAAAUCAUUCUUUACCUUUGAGCUGCACUCCGAUACAGAGCUCUCUCUGUCUUGCCCGCUUUGAGAGUCAUCUUCCGUGAGCGAGUGCUCCUCCAGAUCGACUCUGACGGCAUUGCCUGCCGGGGAAGAGAUGGAAGGGUAGCUCGCCUCUCUGUAUCUAGUAGUUGUAGGUGUAGUUGUAAGUCUAGCUGUAGAGUUGGGCAAGAUGCUCUUCUUUGGCGUCAUGCCGGGAGUUUGCAUCAGAUCUUCUAGGCCAGAUCUGCUGCGUCUUGCUGUUCUUCUUCCUCAUGACGGUGCUCCAACGGCUGGAGCCGGAUGUGAUGGGGGAGGAGGCGGGGGUUCUCCAUCUUCAAUAAGGCCUUCUGCUCUUGCAGAUUCGAUGCCGGCGGGCAAGAAUUGGUGCUCCCUUCUUUUGUCAUGGUGAUAUGGAGGAUGGUGGGCUUCAAUUUAGACGUCGCCUUGCGCUCAAUCUGCAGUGGGGGAGUGUGGAAGCUGCUCCUGGGAGUCAAUCAACGGUGGCUCGUCGUCAGCCACCGUCCAAGAUGGUCGUAGGGCGACCGCUCCCGCCCUCGUCGCCGUCGGCUUCGGUUUCUUCCGGCCGGCGUGCACAGGUGAUCCUAACCUCCAGGCUUCUAUGCCGUCAAGGAGGCCCCUCAGCUCUCGUGCAGUUAGCUCCCGGAGCAUCGUCCCAAGUGGUCAUGUUCCCGGCGACGGUGCCCUUGGCUGCACGGCGGCGCACAAAAGCGGUGGUUAAGGAGCUGUGUUAGCAAUGUCUGUUUUAAAAGUUUUGCCAAGUGUCAACAUUGUCCUAUGUCACAAGUUGACUCUUUUAUAAGGAUCAAUGGGAUGCGGAAAGUUGAGUGGGUAUUUCUACAUCCCUGUAGAAGCAGGGCUGCAAUACCACAUGACGCUACUGAUAGUGCUACCUUAUUUAUAUAUAGUGAAAAAUCACAUGCAUUUUCAUCAUUUAAAUAUGUCUUCCACCAUAAUUUCUUUCCAUAUAAAAUGUUUUUUUAUUUUUGCAGUCACAAAAGUCACAUGAUGUUGUAGUUUGAUCGAGAAAUCAGAUGCUCAUGGAGGAAAACAUGCAACUAAAUGCUUUUAUUUUGUUAUGUCUCAUUAGAAAAACAUAUAUCUUUGCUCCUAAUUAACUGUUGCACCAGAAAUUCUGUUAGAAAGAAGAGAAAACCAUCCACAUGUGCUAUCGCUAAGAGUGAUCAGAGAAAAAGAACAUGCUAGAUAACACCUUAGCUAUGAUAAUUAUCAUGAAACAAAGCAACCAUGAUCAUUUGAAUGGAUAUGGUUAUAUUUUGUAUACCGACAAAGCCCUUCAUUGCCAGGUCCAAAGUCCAGACUCCAGAGUGCUCACGUCACCAAUAGAACCAUGGUGUUAUCCUCAUGCUUGUACCUUGGUUGUAGAAUACAAACCUACAAAAUAAGAGAAAAUAUAGUACUUCCAAAGAUAUAUUGGUAGAGACGUAUCUAGAACCAACAGGAAAAGAGAAAUCAUACUGAACUACGGAAGGCAAACAAAUCCCUGCCAGAAUAGUUCCUAGCUACUAAUAUACUAUUUUUUACCUCCAGAUGCAGAAUGAAUCAACUGUUUGCUACUUUGGUAGAGACUAAAACUGUGUUGCCAAACUCACAGAGACAGAAAUUGAAACUGUGAUCACGGUUCCCAGUGCUAGGGCCACAAGAAAUAUCUUUGAAAUAGAUUAGCAGUAAGUAGAAGGUCAUCCGGUUUUUGAAUUAAUACUCUUGGCUGACAUGUCAUUGCAUUUCUUUGCAGCGAUAAUCAUAGAACACACGGGGAAAGUUGGCUCGGCCGCUAGAAUCAUGAGUACCACAGAUGUCGUCGCGGCCAUCUAGGUCAUCCGAUUUUUGAAUUAACACUCUUGGCUGACAUGUCAUUGCUCUUGUUUGCAGGGAUAAUCAUAGAACACACGGGGAAAGUUGGCUCGGCCGCUAGAAUCAUGAGUAUCACAGAUGUCAUCGCGGCCAUCUGAGGCAGCUCCUGAUCUCUACCUGCGUCGGCCUACCACAAGCCCACUUGGUGCCUAGAAUUUAGGGUUCUGCACACGCACGUGCAGGUCUGCCUCAACUUCAAGUCUAUACACACUUAUAUCUGCUUGUCAUCAUAGUCGACCGGCCGGCCGUCUCAGAACACUGAGGCGAACUCAAGGGUAUUGACGAUCGUGUGCGUAAGUACCUGCAAGGAAGACUGUAUCCUUGCUUUUCUUCUCUGAGAACACAAAGAUCAGGUUCAGAUAUAUCGUCUAGAUCUGUAUGGCAUGGAGGAUUGGGACUGGGAAGCAUGCGUCGUUGACAAUGUUGAAGUCCGGUUCCUGAGACCAUGGCAUAAAUCUGGGAUGUCUCCAUGAAGCAAAUCUUAGAUCGUACCUAGUUUUUGGAGGCCUCUAUGUAGUGUUGCUCUGUUGACUCUGUUCCGUCAAUAAAGCAAAUCAGGAUUGAAACAUUAGCCACUCAUGUGCUGCUGCACUUGAAGGAGGUUGGUCGGCCGGCCGGCCGGUCAGCCGGCGGAGAACGCGAAGGCAUAUACGACGGCGUUUGUGAGGACACGCAGGGAGUUCGUGUCUUUCUUAGGUUUUGAUGAUUUUGAUCGCUGACUUUUAUUAGCUAGACAUGAUAUCGAAGGGGUACGAUGAGAACUUCAUGUAGGGUAUUGGUGGGUAAUUAUAUUGAAUUCUGAUGUUAAUCAACUAUUAUAGAGAUCGAACGGUAAUAAUUGCCUAACUAAAUUAAUUGAUGGUCAGAUGUUUCUGUUUUU